UCUACUGCCAUGCUGCGACAUUGUAAAGCUUUUAUUGCAAUCUUAAUACUUUCUUCGCAGUGCUGUUUUCUUUAUAUAGUUAGCAUGUCAAUUUUAAGAUAGAAAGUCAUUUCUAAGCUAGCAAUUAAAAGUAGCUCCUAUUAGUGUAACUAAUUUUGCACAUAUAUCACGGUUUGUCAUAAAUUUCCAUUACUGUAACUCCCCUCUGAAGUCACAGCUGUCUUUUGCAUUAAAUAGAAUUUUUUAUACUAUAAGACUCCCUGCCCAUGAUUAAUCUUGAAUGACUGAAUUUUGUUAGUUUGUUUGCAUUUGUGAGUUUAUCAGUGUUGAGUCCCCAAAACAGCAGCAUAUCAUCUUUUAUGAUGAAUUAUUAAAAUGAGUUUGUUAAACACCUUUCACUGUAUAUGGUGUUUCCACUUUAAUUGUAAGCUCUUUGGAACAGUUUCUUACAGACCGAAGCUUGAUAUGUUACUGAGAAGCACUUGCUAUUAAAGUUGUAUUUAAGACAGCACGUGAUUCAACUAGUUCUAUGACUAAGCCUAGUUUUAUCUGUAAGGCGUUCUAUUUAUGGAAGCUGGCCAAUGGUAAGGAGUAUAUUGGUGUGCUUCUUAGUUAUG